UUUUAGUCCUGAAAAUCGCAUUGAACAGCCUAGUGAGCCACUCCCCUCCAGCUUUACCCAUGCACUUCCAGAAUUCCACCGGGAUCUCGUCAGGCCGGUCGCUCGACCCCUACUCAUCCUACGCAACGCCCCUAAGACCUCCUAUACCCUAAUGCGCCUGCAGUACCCAAGGUCUCUAUGGUGCUCUGACUGCCCCAACUCCCCUAGCUCUAUGCUCUGAUCCCCCUCCUCAUUAAGAAGGUCCCGAAAGUACGCCUGCCACCUCUGUUUGAUUUGCGAGUCCCCCAUCAGAACUCUACCAUCCUCGUCCUUGAUACNN
rnacentral:lncRNA from 1 species